rnacentral:rRNA from 1 species
AGAGAGAGACAUGCGCGCAUAUCAAUAAGCGGAGGAAAAGAAACUAACUAGGAUUCCCUUAGUAACGGCGAGUGAAGCGGGAAGAGCUCAAAUUUGAAAUCUUCAAGGUUUUACCUUGACGAAUUGUAGUUUAAAGAAGUGUUUUCUGCUGGAGUUUUGGUAAAAGUUCUUUGGAAUAGGACAUCAUAGAGGGUGAGAAUCCCGUAUUUGACCAUUAUUUCCAGCUUUGUGAUACACUUUCAAAGAGUCGGAUUGUUUGGGAAUGCAGUCCAAAAUGGGUGGUAAAUUUCAUCUAAAGCUAAAUAUUGGCGAGAGACCGAUAGCGAACAAGUACCGUGAGGGAAAGAUGAAAAGAACUUUGAAAAGAGAGUUAAACAGUACGUGAAAUUGUCAAAAGGGAAGCGUUUGACACCAGUGUUGUUUUCUCGAAAAUCAAUUAAAAAUGGCUCGAUUUUGUAUUGUUGAGACCUUAAAAGCUCACUGUACAUUUUUCGUGUCUUUUUUAAUGCACUUUUCGUUUAAGCAAGUCAACAUCAGUUUCUUCUGUUGUAAAAGGGUCAUUGGAAGGUGGCUUUCUUUUCGGAGAAAGUGUUUAUAGCCUUUGGCCUCUGCAAUCGGAGAGACUGAGGUCUGCAGCGUAGACUCUUCGGGGUUAGAUACAUUUGUGCUAAGUUAUAGCUUUUUAUAGACAACUUGUUGACUAUAAUUAGUCUUGUAGCUUACUCGCUUAUGCUAUUUUACCUACGCUUAGGAUGUUGAAGUCAUCGUAUCGCGC